rnacentral:rRNA from 1 species
AUAUUGCUUAAUGGGCGCAAGCCUGAAGCAGCAACGCCGCGUGUGCGAUGAAGGCCUUCGGGUUGUAAAGCACUUUUGGCUGGGAAGAGGAAGGACGGUACCAGCAGAAUCAGCCUCGGCUAACUACGUGCCAGCAGCCGCGGUAAAACGUAGGAGGCGAGCGUUAUCCGGAUUUACUGGGUGUAAAGCGCGUGCAGGCGGUCGAUUAAGAUGGGUGUGAAAGCUCCCGGCUCAACUGGGAGAGGUCGCUCAUGACUGGUCGACUGGAGAGCAGUAGGGGAAGGUGGAAUUCCGGGUGUAGUGGUGAAAUGCGUAGAUAUCCGGAGGAACACCAGUGGCGAAGGCGGCCUUCUAGACUGUAUCUGACGCUCAGACGCGAAAGCUAGGGUAGCAAACGG